CGUCUCUGGUUCGUUCAAUCGCCGUUCUGGUUGCGGCGAGUCCCAUGAGAUUCUCAUGGUAGAAUUGUAUACUCGUGAUAAUAUCACGAAUAAUCUCGUCAUCUUCUCCUCGUCGUAAGUUGGUAACGAGGGCUCGAUUAUUCCAGUUGAGUCCGUCAAGUAGACGGGUGAUUUCACUCUCCACAUGUUGUAGAGAAUUCCUGUAUGGUAC
rnacentral:lncRNA from 1 species